UACGUAGGGGGCUAGCGUUGUCCGGAUUUAUUGGGCGUAAAGAGCGUGUAGGCGGCCAGGUAGGUCUGCUGUGAAAACUCGAGGCUCAACCUCGAGACGUCGGCGGAAACCAUCUGGCUAGAGUCCGGAAGAGGAGAGUGGAAUUCCUGGUGUAGCGGUGAAAUGCGCAGAUAUCGGGAGGAACACCUAUGGCGAAGGCAGCUCGCUGGGACGGUACUGACGCUAAGGCGCGAAAGCGUGGGGAGCGAACAGG
rnacentral:rRNA from 1 species